CCUACGGGGGACUGCAGUGGGGGAUAUUGCACAAUGGGGGAAACCCUGAUGCAGCGACGCCGCGUGUGGGAAGACGGUCUUCUGGAUUGUAAACCACUGUCCCCAGGGACGAAAAUGACGGUACCUGGGGAGGAAGCUCCGGCUAACUACGUGCCAGCAGCCGCGGUAAUACGUAGGGAGCAAGCGUUGUCCGGAAUUACUGGGUGUAAAGGGAGCGUAGGCGGGGAUGCAAGUUGGGUGUCAAAACUACCGGCUCAACCGAUAGUCGCACUCAAAACUGCAACUCUUGAGUGAAGUAGAGGCAGGCGGAAGUCCUAGUGUAGCGGUGAAAUGCGUAGAUAUUAGGAGGAACACCAGUGGCGAAGGCGGCCUGCUGGGCUUUUACUGACGCUGAGGCUCGAAAGUGUGGGGAGCAAACAGGAUUAGAUACCCUUGUAGUC
rnacentral:rRNA from 1 species